UACGUGGGGCGCAAGCGUUAUCCGGAAUUAUUGGGCGUAAAGAGCUCGUAGGCGGUUUGUCGCGUCUGCCGUGAAAGUCCGGGGCUCAACUCCGGAUCUGCGGUGGGUACGGGCAGGCUAGAGUGAUGUAGGGGAGACUGGAAUUCCUGGUGUAGCGGUGAAAUGCGUAGAGAUGCGGAGGAACACCAGUGGCGAAAGCGGCUUUCUGGUCCUUAACUGACGCUGAGGCGCGAAAGCAUGGGGAGCGAACGGG
rnacentral:rRNA from 1 species